UUGACAGCCUUGGAGACUGAAGCCCUCUAUUUAUCUACAGAACAGGUACAGCCUGGGCAGCAGCAGUGCUAGCUUCCACACUUUCCCCGCCACCGCGCCUCAGCCCUGACCUGGAAGAACCACCUCUAGAGGUGAGAGGGGAAUGCAGCCUCCAUGUCUCUUGAGAGCUUGGCCUCU
rfam:Cariama cristata contig26463, whole genome shotgun sequence.